UAAUUGAAGAGUUUGAUCAUGGCUCAGAUUGAACGCUGGCGGCAGGCCUAACACAUGCAAGUCGAGCGGUAACAGGGGAAGCUUGCUUCUCGCUGACGAGCGGCGGACGGGUGAGUAAUGUAUGGGGAUCUGCCCGAUAGAGGGGGAUAACUACUGGAAACGGUAGCUAAUACCGCAUAAUCUCUUAGGAGCAAAGCAGGGGAACUUCGGUCCUUGCGCUAUCGGAUGAACCCAUAUGGGAUUAGCUAGUAGGUG
rnacentral:rRNA from 1 species